AUUCUGAGGACUAAGCUAAAUCUGGGUUAUGAGUUUGUAAUACAGUAUGAAGAUCCGGACUUCCAGAAUGAGUUGAUAAACCUCAACUGUCCCACAGAAUUGCCCAAGGAUAAAGCAACCCUCAAAAUAAUCCAGAAGAUGCCACCUGACCAACACUUGGUGACUGUUAGUGACAGCAGUACCCUUGACACUGCCAGCCUGUCAUCUGCUUCAUCAUCUACAGAAACCAGCCCACCUGAUAUGAUGAAGAACUGGUCUGAGCCCUUUAGCAUUCCAACUUUCUCUUAUGAUGUGGAACUGAAGCUGAAGAGAGGAAAUGAAGCAUAUGCCAAAGAUGGCUCCCGGAUAGAGGUCCUCAAGGGCCUCAAGAGUGAAAUCUUGGACAGACUUGUUGGAGAGAUGUUCAGAAUCGAUGCAUAUCCAUCACAGGUACAAAUUGAAGAAGUUGCCAAAGCAUUGGUAGAAAAGCAUCCCUGUUUAAGAGAGGUAGGGUCCACAGAUGGCUGGUACUGCUGGAAGUACAAUUUAAAUUUUAAAAUGGGCAAUUAUCGGCACAAGUUACGUGCUGCCUGGGUGUACAGCAGUGUUGGUGAACAAGACUCGAAUGUUUGAAGAUGGGAAAACUAAGCGGAAGAUCAAGAAGCCAAGGCGAUCUGAAACCAACUUCCGUCCAGAUAUACUGUACCUGAUGACACCUUUACUUCCCUUGAAGAGGACAGGAAGACACUUCUGUUGGAAUUUAAAAAGGUGAAUCCCAACAACAAGAUAAUUGAUGCAGCCAUGGCAAACACUUAUGCUUUGAGAAGAAAGGAGAUCGUUGAUGAUGAGCCUCUUGUGAGUAUGGUCAAAUCCAGAUGGCCUGCACUGUUCUCGGAGAGACAGAUCCUUGCGGAAUUCAGCCGUCUGAUGUCUACUGAUCUCCUGAGAUCCUUCUUUGGUGGACUUGAUGAAUAUAUGCCCAGGUUUCUUGACCUUUUCAGAAAAAAGGAUCACAUUGCAGAGCUCCAAGACAUUGUUAGAUGGCUGGACGCUCAUGAUUCCAAUCAGAAUAAGCGAACAGCAGUCUUACUUGGCAUGCCGCAUUUCCUUCGAGAAGAGCCCUCA